rnacentral:rRNA from 1 species
CACACAUCAAUUUAUAUACCAUGGCGGUCCUAAUUAACUAAAGAAACUCGCCCCAUAAUCGUAAACACCCGUUAACUUUGACUAUAAAUAAACAGCUUAUAUACCGCCGUCACAAAACUAAACAAAAAUAUAGCUUAAUAUUUCAACUCUAAAUCAAAAAUCAGGUCAAGGUGUAGCCUAUAUUAUAGAGCGGGUAAGUUACAAUAAAAACAAUUUAAGGAAAUUUUAAUAAAAAUUAAACAGAAAUAGAAUUUAUAUACACAAUCUAACCAAAAAUUAGAAUAGAAAAACAAACAA